rnacentral:misc_RNA from 1 species
GAUGAAGAACGCAGCGAAAUGCGAUACGUAAUGUGAAUUGCAGAAUUCAGUGAAUCAUCGAAUCUUUGAACGCAUAUUGCGCUCUCUGGUAUUCCGGAGAGCAUGCUUGUUUGAGUAUCAGUAAACACCUCAACUUCCAUAUCUUUUUUGAAAUGGGAGUUGGACUUGAGUGAUCCCAACGCUUUUCCUCACCGAAAAGUGGCGGGUUACUUGAAAUGCAGGUGCAGCUGGACUUUUCUCUGAGCUAUAAGCAUAUCUAUUUAGUCUGCCUCAAAAACAGAUUAUUACCUUUGCUGCAGCUAACAUAAAGGAGAUUAGUUCUUGUGCUGACUGAUGCAGGAUUCACAAAGACAGGCUUCGGCCGACUUUGUAAACUCGAUCUCAAAUCAAGUAAGACUACCCGCUGAACUUAAGCAUAUCAAUAAGCGGAGGA